AUUGAACGCUGGCGGCAUGCUUUACACAUGCAAGUCGAACGGUAACAGGGUGCUUGCACCGCUGACGAGUGGCGAACGGGUGAGUAAUGCGUCGGAACGUGCCGAGUAGUGGGGGAUAACGCAUCGAAAGGUGUGCUAAUACCGCAUACGUACUGAGGUAGAAAGUGGGGGACCUUCGGGCCUCACGCUAUUCGAGCGGCCGACGUCUGAUUAGCUAGUUGGUGAGGUAAAGGCUCACCAAGGCGACGAUCAGUAGCGGGUCUGAGAGGAUGAUCCGCCACACUGGGACUGAGACACGGCCCAGACUCCUACGGGAGGCAGCAGUGAGGAAUUUUGGACAAUGGGCGCAAGCCUGAUCCAGCCAUGCCGCGUGUCUGAAGAAGGCCUUCGGGUUGUAGAGGACUUUUGUCCGGGAGCAAAUGCCUGGUGUUAAUAGCACUGGGAGCUGAGAGUACCGGAAGAAUAAGCACCGGCUAACUACGUGCCAGCCGCCACGGUAAAAC
rnacentral:rRNA from 1 species